rnacentral:lncRNA from 1 species
GCUCUUUGUGAUAUGAGGAAGGAAGAACUGAGCCGGCUCAGUGGCAAGUUUAGCUCUCAAGCCUACCACAUAUCCGCUUUCUUGGGAACAUCCUUCAGCUGCUGUAUCACUCAGAAGCGUGAAGCUCUUCCUUAUUCCACCUUAGGGUCUCCCUUGAACUGAGGAAAGCCUAUGAACUCCAAGAGGCGGACCAGAGAGCCUUCCCGUUCUACAGAGAAGACCUCAGUUUCUCCCCAAAGCUCCACUAUGGAGUGACCUACUUGGCAAAUCACAUUCCUUGUGAGAAAAAGGCAUUAAAUCCUCGUCUCCGUGUGUCAGUCAGGGCAUGAUUUUUCUGUAGCAAGUUUCCUAGAAGUGAUGGAUCAGUACUUAUGGAGUAUCUGUUAUGGACACGGUAUAAGGAUAUAAAACGAAAAGAAGAUGGGGCUCUUCCCUCUGGGAACUCAUGUUUUCACUGAGGAGACAAGAUGCCUGAAGUAAAUAUGAGGAAAACAACCAUUGAAAGAAUUAUCACUCCUUUGCCAGGGAGUGAAGGAUGAAGAAGAGAAGGCCAUUGUGGAACUAUGGAGAUUGCAGUGCAUAGAACCUUCUCUGCUGAGACACAGGCUGCCUAUUAGUGAACAAAGUCCCUGUAUGAGAAGAUACUAGAGGCUCCUCUUGCUACCUCAUCCCCAGCAUGUCCAACUGAGGGCCUGACUCCUCCUCCUGCUGCACUCCCCUUCAUCCACUUUUCUCCUUUCAUUGAAGCUUCUUGGGUUUCUUUACUUCCUACUCACCAGCCAUUUCCAAGGGAGGAUCUGUCUCUCAUCUUCAACGUGUUCAAAUCAAUCGUUCAAGAAAGUUUCCUUAUAACCCCAUCCCAAGCUGUGAGUCAGGACUCACUGUUUCUAGAAAUGUGUACUGUUUCAUUCCUCUCUCAGCCUUAAAAAUGGAUUCUAACCUUAGGUCAGAGGAUGUUUAAUAGUUCAAACCAGUCCUUGUCAAUAAAUAUUUAUUUAGCUUCUACCUUAUGCUAGACAUAGUACUGAGUUCUAGAGGCACAAAAAUGAAAAGGAAAUGGAAGUCUUUAUUUUGGGGCAGUUGAGUGAUGAAAAUGUUCACAUAAACAGAUACUUUCAAUCUAAUAUGAUCAAGGCUAUGAUAUAGGUAUGCAAGGGGUCCUUGGACCCAGCUUGGGGUAAAGGGAAAGCCUCUUGGGUAAGAAACACCUGAGCUCUCUUGAAGGAUAAGUAAAUGUAAUCAAGAUGAAGAAGAGUGGGACAGGAAUUACAAAGGCUCUGAGUCAUGAAAUAGCACAAUGAAUAUGAGGGCAAACUACAAGCAAUUUAACUACUAGAACAUAAAGAGUCAGUGAAUGGUGAGAGAGAAAACUGAAGAAUUAGGAGAAACCAGGUUAGAUAGGACCUUGAAGCUAAGCUAAGGAAGAUGAACUUCACUCUGUGGGAUAAUGAGGAGCCACCAUAGAAUUUGAAGUCGCAUAGUAACGUGCUCAGAUCUGAGUUUUAGGCAGAUCUGGCUAUAGGUGGA